UACGUAGGGUGCAAGCGUUAAUCGGAAUUACUGGGCGUAAAGCGUGCGCAGGCGGUUUUGUAAGACAGAGGUGAAAUCCCCGGGCUCAACCUGGGGACUGCCUUUGUGACUGCAAGGCUUGAGUGCGGCAGAGGGGGAUGGAAUUCCGCGUGUAGCAGUGAAAUGCGUAGAUAUGCGGAGGAACACCGAUGGCGAAGGCAAUCCCCUGGGCCUGCACUGACGCUCAUGCACGAAAGCGUGGGGAGCAAACAGG
rnacentral:rRNA from 1 species